GGAGAGAUGGCUGAGCGGCCGAAAGCGCUGGAUUGCUAAUCCAGUGAGUCUCGUAAGAGGCUCCACGGGUUCGAAUCCCGUUCUCUCCGCUA
rnacentral:tRNA from 1 species